AGGGGGGUAGAAUUUUCAGGUGUAGCGUGGAAAUGGUUAGAGAUUUGUAUGAUUACCGGAGGGGAACGGGGCCCCAUGGUCAAAGAUUGACGUUCAGGUGGGAAAGGGUGGGGAGCAAACAGGAUUAGAUACCNUGGUAGUCCACGCCGUAAACGAUGUCGACUUGGAGGUUGUUCCCUUGAGGAGUGGCUUCCGGAGUUAACGCGUUAAGUCGACCGCCUGGGGAGUACGGCCGCAAGGUUAAAACUCAAAUGAAUUGACGGGGGCCCGCACAAGCGGUGGAGCAUGUGGUUUAAUUCGAUGCAACGCGAAGAACCUUACCUACUCUUGACAUCCAGAGAACUUAGCAGAGAUGCUUUGGUGCCUUCGGGAACUCUGAGACAGGUGCUGCAUGGCUGUCGUCAGCUCGUGUUGUGAAAUGUUGGGUUAAGUCCCGCAACGAGCGCAACCCUUAUCCUUUGUUGCCAGCGGUUCGGCCGGGAACUCAAAGGAGACUGCCAGUGAUAAACUGGAGGAAGGUGGGGAUGACGUCAAGUCAUCAUGGCCCUUACGAGUAGGGCUACACACGUGCUACAAUGGCAUAUACAAAGAGAAGCGACCUCGCGAGAGCAAGCGGACCUCACAAAGUA
rnacentral:rRNA from 1 species